rnacentral:rRNA from 1 species
UACAGAGGUCUCAAGCGUUGUUCGGAUUCAUUGGGCGUAAAGGGUGCGUAGGUGGCGCGCUAAGUCAGGUGUGAAAUUUCGGAGCUUAACUCCGAAACUGCAUUUGAUACUGGCGUGCUUGAGGACUGGAGAGGAGACUGGAAUUCAUGGUGUAGCAGUGAAAUGCGUAGAGAUCAUGAGGAAGACCGGUGGCGAAGGCGGGGCUCUGGACAGUGCCUGACACUGAGGCACGAAGGCCAGGGGAGCAAACGGG